GGAAUUUAUUAUAAUGUAUUAAAUAUAAGGUGAAAUGCCAAAGGAUUAUAAUUUUAAAUCUAAGAGAAGCAAAGGGAAGAAGGCAACAUUGUGACCUUACACUUAUGUACUUCACCAACUUAAUAAAUCAAAAAUGAAACAGGAAUCUUGCUACGUAUUUACUAACAUUUACAAAAAGGUACUCCUGCAGAAAACUUGGAACAAGCUUCACAGCAACAGAAAGAACCCCGGAGAAAUCUUGAACAAUGCUUCCAUGUCAGCUGUGAAAACUUGCUAUUGUCAGUUUGAAGAGGGUGGUUUGACGGCACCAUUAUCAAGGAUCAGAAGCACCAAUUCUCAAGUUGUAUAAACAAGUCUAUUAGUUACUCCGACUUAUGACAAAUCAAACGAUCCUUGACCUUCAUUAAUGGCAUAGAGUAAUUUCUUGGACAUGAUCUCCUUAGUAGAAUAGGGAGGGAGUUUCAAGUAAUUAGCACAUGUCAUCACACUGGGUAGGUCUUCAUCUGCAGAUUCUGAUGGGGCAUUACUGUUCUGUGCUGCAUUGCCAGCACUAGAUGAAUGCUUCCUCACAAUUGUCAACUUAGGAUUCAGAGAAGCAAGACCACCUGCGGGGAGCCGAGGAGCACCAGUAACAAACUGGCAGAAUGCUCGUUGCUGCUCAGGUGUGAACUCUCCCAUAAUCUCUAGUAAAUGAAUAAUAGGAGGACUCUUGGAUGUGAAUCCAUGAUCGAAUUUUAUGUGAUCUACUAGCAUCUCAGGCUUCCACAGCUCUCUACGGCCACAUAAUAGAUAGUCUAACUCUGAAGGAGAGAAUAUUUGCAGAGCUGAAAAGUCGAAAACCUGAUUGAAGCCAGAUCUAAAAGCCUCCAUUUGCUGCCUGAUUCCAGUUUUCACAGUAGCAUCAACUACCAAAGAAAUAUACUCCUCCAAGUUACUGAGAUCCACAUUCUCGUCGCCUGCUUUAAGAAUAUAUUCAGGAUAGCCAGGAAGUGUGAAAUCUAAACAAAGAUCCUCAACUGGAGUCCCACGAAAAUGCAUGUCAUAAGACUCGUCCAGGUUCUGAUCUUUUAUUGAUUCUAUAUAUUGCUUUCGACUGACGAGGGCUUGCAACUCUUGCAAAGUCUUCCCCAAUUCGGUGUCAAAAGAAAGAAUAUCAUACAAAUCAAGUUCUUGACCAAGAACGAGCUUAUAGAAGGCCAUGGACAGUGGAAGGUCCAAAAGCCGUCCAUCUUGAAGAGCUUUCGCCAUAACACGUCCAAGCAAGCGGAAAUAUUCAAUUGCUUUAUAGAAUUGACCUCCAUCAACAGUACCAGUAUGUGGUGACCAGGGACGUGGGAAUAAUCCAAGAGGUGCU
rnacentral:misc_RNA from 1 species